UCCUUGGUGAGCCAGUGGUUAGGACUCAGCACUUUCACUGCCAUGGGCCCAGGUUCAAACCCUGGUCAGGGAA
rfam:TPA: Bos taurus chromosome 22, whole genome shotgun sequence.